GACGAACGCUGGCGGCGUGCCUAAUACAUGCAAGUCGAACGCUGAAGGAGGAGCUUGCUUCUCUGGAUGAGUUGCGAACGGGUGAGUAACGCGUAGGUAACCUGCCUGGUAGCGGGGGAUAACUAUUGGAAACGAUAGCUAAUACCGCAUAAUAGUAGAUGUUGCAUGACAUUUGCUUAAAAGGUGCAAUUGCAUCACUACCAGAUGGACCUGCGUUGUAUUAGCUAGUUGGUGGGGUAACGGCUCACCAAGGCGACGAUACAUAGCCGACCUGAGAGGGUGUUCGGCCACACUGGGACUGAGACACGGCCCAGACUCCUACGGGAGGCAGCAGUAGGGAAUCUUCGGCAAUGGACGGAAGUCUGACCGAGCAACGCCGCGUGAGUGAAGAAGGUUUUCGGAUCGUAAAGCUCUGUUGUAAGAGAAGAACGAGUGUGAGAGUGGAAAGUUCACACUGUGACGGUAGCUUACCAGAAAGGGACGGCUAACUACGUG
rnacentral:rRNA from 1 species